ACUUGAAAUAACUUUAUUUCUAUUUUUUCAAUCAACUUUAGAGGUUUUUUUCUUAGGAGUCGUUUAGUUACUUUAUUUUUUCACAUAGAUAAGGAUUCAUAACCAUGUUAAAUCUUGUGUUUGUUUGCCAUAUGUUCACUCGAUUUCGUCCAGUUUCGUAUAUCUAACUGCAUACCCACCGAUUGAGUUAAUUGCCCUCGCUUUCUGUGACCAAUAAUUCUAUUCUUCCCCUUUGCCCCCUCCCAUUUUCUAAUUUCAAAUUGAAUCAAAUUCAAUUUGAUUUCAAUGAAGAAAACCCUACUCCACAAGCUUCCCAGAAUCGGUGAAAUGAGUGACACAGCAACAAGAAGACAACGAUGGCCGAGAAUUGAAGCUUUACUACAUCGAAGAAAACCCUGCUGCACAAGCUUCCCACAAUCUACACAUUCGUGGUGAAAGGACGAACAAAUAGCUUUGCCAACAAAAACGGCGCAGGUGCUUACGAAAAAAAAUGACUGGUAAGUUUUGAAUUUUUCUGCUUCAUUGUGUGUUUCUAAUUUUUGUUGGUCAUCGAUUGUUUUGAGUUCAGUUGUAAUGUUUCCUGGUAGACCGAAAUGGAGUAUUACUCACCUGUGUCCGAUUGAGAAUGGGUCCCACCUCAUUAGAGAGAGGAGGCUUGUGCAUAUUCUUGUGGGACGGACUAAAAAGGAAAGAGUGCAUAUGUUUAGAGCACUUCAAUUUCUGAUAUAAGUAUUUUUCGAUGUCCGAUGUGAGUGUAUGAAGAGAAUUUGUUCUUUGUUAUAUGAUGUCAUUCCUUUGCAAUUAUGUUGUUGUUUUAUAUAUUGGUUAGAACAAUUUGUAUUCGCCGUAACGCCCUUUCCUCUCUCUUUCUCAAUCACAUAUUUGUUGAAGUUGUGUUAUCUCAUUUGUAUAUGUCACAGUAGCGUAUAUACUUGCUUGUUGUAGCGGUAGUUUGUGAGAUUCGUUCUGUUGAUAACGACGAUUUUUUUCCUUUGUUUUCUGUGCAGAAAAUUUAACGCGUCAUUUCUGAAAUGUUUCAUUUAUGGCACCUACGUUAUCUACCUCCACACCCAUUUACGUUUUGUUAGAAGACAUAAUAAACAUUUUCCAUUUACAAAGUAGCAUACUUAUGUAUUUCUAUUUGAGGCACGGUAGACAGUUUAUUAGGCAUUACUCACUUAUAAAUUGAAUUCCACCACAAGUCCAGCAGAUGAACAGCCUUGUAUCCGUGAGCGACAUUGAUUGCUUAGUGAACCUCCGUAUGGAUAGGAAUACAUUUGAGAGAUUGUGUGCUCUGUUAGUUGUUAUCAGACUACACACCAUUUUGUUUCCUAAACCAGAACCUGUCACGGAUGAUAAUGACAACCGAAGGUGGAAAUAUUUUAAGGUACUAUGUUCCCUACGAGGAUAAUUUAGUUUAGUAAUGCAUGGAUAAUACAGUGCUACAUGUAUCCACUUCUAUUGUACGAUCAUCUUUUUGUUUUUAUUUGUAAUGAUGCGUAGGGGUGUAUUGGAGCCUUAGACGGGACGUAUAUCAACGUCCUUGUCGGCAACAUGGACAAGCCACGUUACCGCAAUCGAACAGGACAAAUUGCGACUAACACCCUUUCUGUUUGUGACCGAAAAAUAAGAUUCAUGUUUUUUUACCUGGGUUGAAAGGCUCAGCCGGUUGCUCGGGUGCUUCGAGAUAAGGUCACCAGGGGAAGAUGAUCUGAAGAUUCCUAAAGGUUGUCAUAUGUCUUACAUUAUGUAAAACUUGCAUAUUCCUCGUUCAAGGAUUUCUCCCACCCUUCAAAGGUGUCCGUUAUUAUUUCAAUGAAUGAGGAGUAGGCACCCAGAGACUCUAGAAUACCCGUGAGUUGUUCAGUCUACGGAACACUAAAGCACGUAAUAUAAUCAAGCGUGCUUUUGCUGUGUUAAACAUGUGAUGGGAUGUGCUUCAGAUUGCCAACUUUUUUCUAAUUAAAACACAGAUCAUGGCCUGAUUCUUAUUGCAUAAUUUUAUCCAAGGAGAAAUGACACGCGAUCCAGUUGAGGAGGCAUUGGAUAUAGGGACACAUGAUGCUGUUGAACACGAUGACUACGGUGACAUAGAAUACAUCGACCAUGUGGAACCAACAUCUGAUUGGAAUCGAAUGCGGAAAUAUAUGGAAAAUUUGUUGUGGUUAAAUGUGUGUUUCCUCAUGUUAGGGACAAUAAUCUUCUACCCUCCAGGAGUGUGUUUUUUGGGAAUAAUUUCGAUUCUUGUAAAAUAAAUUUCAAUUCGUUUAUUAUAUGUUGUGUG